rnacentral:rRNA from 1 species
AGAGUUUGAUCCUGGCUCAGGACGAACGCUGGCGGCGUGCUUAACACAUGCAAGUCGAGCGAGGCCCAUUCUUCGGGGUGGUGCCCUAGCGGCGAACGGGUGAGUAACACGUGGGCAACCUGCCCUCAACUCUGGGAUAACUCCAAGAAAUUGGUGCUAAUACCGGAUGUGACCGCUGACCGCAUGGUCUGGUGGUGGAAAGAUUCAUCGGCUGAGGAUGGGCCCGCGGCCUAUCAGCUUGUUGGUGGGGUGAUGGCCUACCAAGGCGACGACGGGUAGCCGGCCUGAGAGGGUGACCGGCCACACUGGGACUGAGACACGGCCCAGACUCCUACGGGAGGCAGCAGUGGGGAAUAUUGCGCAAUGGGCGAAAGCCUGAUGCAGCGACGCCGCGUGAGGGAUGACGGCCUUCGGGUUGUAAACCUCUUUCAGCAGGGACGAAGCGGAAGUGACGGUACCUGCAGAAGAAGCACCGGCCAACUACGUGCCAGCAGCCGCGGUAAUACGUAGGGUGCAAGCGUUGUCCGGAAUUAUUGGGCGUAAAGAGCUCGUAGGCGGUCUGUCACGUCGGCUGUGAAAACCCGAGGCUCAACCUCGGGCCUGCAGUCGAUACGGGCAAACUAGAGUGUUGCAGGGGAGACUGGAAUUCCUGGUGUAGCGGUGAAAUGCGCAGAUAUCAGGAGGAACACCGGUGGCGAAGGCGGGUCUCUGGGCAACAACUGACGCUGAGGAGCGAAAGCGUGGGGAGCGAACAGGAUUAGAUACCCUAGUAGUCC